GAAUAACUAUUUAUAUAUAUAUAUAGUUAUUUUGUGGCUGGGCUGGGCCUGGCGAUCCGAAUGGCCCAUUACUGUAUAUGUGUAGUUUAUUUACUGAAAAACAAAAGCUAGGUGGAAAAAAUGAAAUUGGAAUUAUUGGGAAUGAAACGAAGAGAAGGAAUGAAAAAUUUGACGAGGCGACGGCACGGUGGCGGUGCAGACAGAGGAAGAGAUUUUUAGCGCUCUUGUUCAUUGGAGGUUUCAAUCUCAUUGAGGUACAAUCUAUACAGUUAAAAACUCAUUCAGCAGCUUAUAAUUUCUUUCUUUCCCCUUCCACACACACACACACACACACACACACAUACACACACACACACACACACACACACACACAUAUAUAUAUAUAUAUAUAUAUAUAUAUAUAUAUAUAUAUAUAUAUAUAUAUAUAUAUUAUUCUGUUGAUAUUGGCUCCUCAAGCCUACAAACUAAAAGUAAUUAAUUAAUUAAGGACGAGGAGGCGGCCUAGGGAGAGGAAUUCCAUUGAGAAAAGAAUGAAACAAAGUGAGGGCUUGAGAGGGAGAGNNNNNNNNNNNNNNNNNNNNNNNNNNNNNNNNNNNNNNNNNNNNNNNNNNNNNNNNNNNNNNNNNNNNNNNNNNNNNNNNNNNNNNNNNNNNNNNNNNNNUAUUUUUCCAGCUAGAUUUCAAGAGUAUGUGGAUUAUUUUAUAAUGACUUAAAUAAGUUGAAAUUUAAAAUGAAUUAUAAGUCCUUUUAAGUUGUGAUUUAAAAAGAAAAGUGUUUGACAUCAUUUUACUUAAAAGUUAAAAAUUCAGUUAUUUUAACUUGUGAAGGUGUUUGCCUAAAAUGACUCAUAAUUUAAAAUAAUUUUUAAAGAUAACUAAAAUGAGGGCAAAACAAUUUUUACAUUUGAUCAAACUUGUUUAUUUUAAAAUCACUUAUAAGUUAUUUUUUGAGAAGUAAGAAAUUGUUACGCCUCAAAAAUGAUUUAUAAGUCAUUUAUAAGUUAAAAAUAAGUCACAAACGAACACUUGAACAGUAAAAAACUAUUUAUAAGUUGGUUUGACCAACUUAUAAAUAGUAGCCGAAGUUUGGUUAGUGAUUAAUGAGUAGUAGUACUCCAGUAGUUCCGAGUUUUGGAAGUUAAUGAUACCUCAAUAGUAUGUAAAAAUAAUGCUAGAGCUCUCAAUUUUUUUAUAUAAGGUCAAUGCUCUCAAGUCUUAAUGACUUGGAAAAGUUUAGACACCAUAAUACUACAUUCUUUUUAUAUAAGAUUAUGUCACUAUCUCUACUUGCAAUGAGGUUGCGAUAAUGUCUGUGCUGCUGCUUGUGAUCUCUUUAAUGAAACCAAGUUUAUAUUUUCUUUUCUUUUGGUGAUUAGAUGUUAAAAUAGUACUAAUUACGAGUUAAUUUUCAAAAGGAAGGUCCCCUCGUAUUAUUUUUCUCCUUUUUUGGUGUUUGUUUAUUCCUUUUGCUUGCUUCUGCCUAUCAACACAGGCUAGAGAUAUUUGAAUAUGAAACAUGGACAACAAUAUUGGAGAUUCGCAUAAACAAACUAUCUGAAAAAAAAGGGUUUGAGCUUUACUUGAGUGAUAAUCAUGGACUCUCACCAUUAGAAACCAAUAUUAAUAGAAUGAAGCUUGCGGAGUUACAGUCAGAUAAUAAGGAAGGUCCCCUCGUAUUAUUUUUCUCCUUUUUUGGUGUUUGUUUAUUCCUUUUGCUUGCUUCUGCCUAUCAACACAGGCUAGAGAUAUUUGAAUAUGAAACAUGGACAACAAUAUUGGAGAUUCGCAUAAACAAACUAUCUGAAAAAAAAGGGUUUGAGCUUUACUUGAGUGAUAAUCAUGGACUCUCACCAUUAGAAACCAAUAUUAAUAGAAUGAAGCUUGCGGAGUUACAGUCAGAUGUAGAGUCAGAGUCAGAUUCAGAUACAAGUUCUUAAUCCAUUUCUAGUGAUAAUCCUACUAAUAAAAUUUACCCCCUUUUUAUCCUGUGUCUGAGCAGAGAUGUCUGGCCAACACCUCAUAUGCUCUUCCUUUUGUGUCAUCCUCUUUAUUUUUUUGGACGAGUGACUUCAUUUUGAUUGUUUUUAAUGACUAUUUAAUUGGUAAAUAAGUUUUCUAAAUAAAGUACAUUGCUCUAUUUUCCCAGGAUCUCACAAAUGGAUGGGUAGAUUUAUUAUCUUGAAAAUUUUAAUAGUGGCUGAUUUUCUUAAAGAUUGUAUUGCAAUCACGGAUUAAGAAGAGGGAAAGUUCAUAGUAGCAAUGUUCGAAACAGCGCUCGAGGCGUACGCCUCGAGGCGCGCCUCGUAGCGAGGCGGAAGAAAGAGUUCGCGAGGCGGCCGCUUAGUUUGGAAUCGUAGAAGCCUGCGCCUUUUCCAGUCGAAGCUUACUCCUCGUGGCGUUGCGCCUCAAGGCGUCGUGAGGCGUGCGCCUCGAUUUGGCUUUGAAAAAGCCCUAAAUAGCAGAUUCGGAACUUACCGAAGAGGCGAAGACUGCUCCUUUCUCCUCUUCGACUGCUCCUUCGACCGCGACUGCUCCAGGUAUCUUCCUUCUCCUCUUUCUUCUUCUUCUUCUUCUUCUUCUUCUUCUUCUACUUCUUCUCCUUCUUCUACUCCAGGUCUCUAUUUUCUUUUUCGUUUCUUCCUCUCUUCCUCUGACUCUUCUCCUUCUUUCUUUUCUUUUCUUCUUGCGUCUCCUCUUCCUCUUUUUCGUUUCUUCUUCUGUUUUCUCUGCUCCUUUCUGAACUUUGUCUGCGUCUUUGUUUUUUCUAUAUCUAGUCUCUGUUUUUUGUUUUCUUUUUCUUUUUUGUUUUCUGAUUUCUUCUGUGUUUUUUUUUUCUGUUUUGAGUUCUGAAUGUAGUGAGUCUAGUGACUACAGUGUAUCACAAUAGCAUUAACAAUUUUUGUUGUGUACAAUAAUAUAUCUGCAUUGUUUUUAUUGUGUUAUGUUUUUGUUGUGAUUUUACCAAUAGUGUUUGUAGAGAAUUUUGAACAAAGAUAGCAAAUGAUAAUUCCAUUUGGUUUUUUAAACUGUCAAUAACAAUAUCAAUUUUUGUGUACAUGAAUUGCUAUUUGCUAAUGUCACCAAAAUAAUUAGUUAGGACUUAGGAUUGGAUUCUUGAUCAUCAUGUUUUCUGGUUAUAAAUUUGAUCAUCACCAAAAUAUUUGCUAAUGUUUUCUGGUUAAUUAGUUAGGCAAGUUUAUAAAUUUGUGGUCUUGAUCUUGGACUCUUGGUCAUCAUGUUAAUGCUGUUGGUGAUGCCCUGUGAACCGAUUCCACUGUCUUUCAGUCCCUGAACCACAAUAAACAUAAUUUUAUAUUCAGUUUUUGAACAGUAUUAAAUUCUAUCAAUGUUAACAUGAGUACAUGGUUUUAUUAGUAUUUUUUCAUAAUUUUUUGGGGACUUUUAGGUCUUUAAAUCAAGGCUUCCGCCUCGCUCCGCCUCAAGGCUUACGCCUCGCAUAGCCCAGAGAAAAACGCCUCGUACCGAUUUUAGCUUUUUCGAACAUUGCAUAGUAGUAGUCUGCGUUGUCCAUUAUCUGAUUUAUUAAUUACUACUCUUGAAAACCUUACUCCGAAUGUCCAAUUAAUAUUAGGAUGAUUUGGAUAAAAUUUUCUCCUGGUGGGAUGACAACCUAUAAUGGUUCUCCAACCUGCUCACUUCUUAGUAAGAGUAACUUAUUUGAGCUAAAUUACAGUUGAUGAUAAUCUCCCGAAAGGGCCUAGCUUCACUAAUGAAUAUGGAGCUUCUGCUUGAUACUCAACUAGACUGAGCUUCACCAGUGAAUAAUCAGUUUUUUUUUACUCCCUAUGUCCAAAAAUGUUGACCUAUAACUGUGCAUUCUUAGGUUUGUCAUCAUUUUCUUUAUGUGUAUCCUUGCCUUCUUCAUACCACAAUACGCUUAGAGAAAUUCAGAAGUCAAGUGCGACUGUCAUUUUGGGUGAGAGGUAGUAUUUUCUUAAAAUGGUAACAUGCUAACUUUAUGGCUAUAGUUAUUCUUAGUUGCACAUUUGAGUGAAGAAAGAGGAUUAAAAAAUGAAUAGAGAAGAGAAGGUAGUUCAGCGAAUUUAACAUUAACAUUCAUCUUAAGAGACAUACAUCAAUACAUCAUAGAGCUUAAUGUAUUACAAUAGGUUUUCUAUAGGUACAGCCAUUAUUCAUCAAUAUCACGCAUGUAACAAACCAGCUGACUGGAUUCCCAAAUCUCCCUUAUUUUAUUUCUCUCUUGAACUCCAUAUUAGUUGAGACUGUCAAAGGCAACACAAGAAUUGUCCAGAUUAACAAGGCCACAAGGGUACUCCAUUUAUGUGUAUAUAUAUAAAUAGAAAUGGUUAUUAUUUCGUCCAAAAUUAACAAUUAAAUGGAUAUAUGCACAGAUUAUGGAAAUAGAACAUACAUGUCACAGUUGGUCCUUCGGGAGAUUGGAAUAUCCAAUUUUACUCCGCAUUUUUCAGGCAGAGCUUGGGCUGCAUCAUCUUUCAAGCUCGGAUAUCGAUUGGCAGCUGUCUUCACACAGUUGCAAGCUGCACGCUGUCUUCUGGGGUUGUAGUCAUCCCUUUAAUACCUUGCACUCCAUUGCAGCAUUGAGGCGAUGGAGAACCCUCUUGGGUGAGUUAAGGGGCGCAUGGUGCCAAAGACGCAUCGACUUGUCCACAGUUUAUAGCGGCCUGCCCUUGCUCAAACAUUAGAACAAUGGCUAGCACCACCAUCACUGAUAUGACAACAGUCUUCAUAUUUGAGCUAGCUUUGUGUUGGUGUUUCAGCUUGUAUGUUUUUAGGGGUAGCUUCUUCUGUGUGGUGCUUCGGAGGAGGCUCUCAGAUGGGGUAUAUAUAGUACUAUAGGGGUGGCUUAAAAUAGUAGUUGUUAAUCUGUUUUGGCUUUAUCUUUGUUCAUAUCACUUGGUUAUCUUUUACCGCAGAAAGAGGAUGAGCACUUACAUAAGUUUGUUCUCUCAUUCGCAGUUUUUGUCAGUCGAUGCCAGAUUGGUGACAUCUAGACUGAUGUCUCCCCUUAUGUUUUUGAGGCAAAAUAGAAACUGAAACCUUAUCUCUUCUGCUCUAGGGAAAUCAUUUACUUACUGAAGUUGAUUAGUUACAAUGAGGUAAGAGAUUAAUAUAAAUUGCGGCUGUUAUGAGUUUCAAAUUACAGUUGCUGCUAAUGGUCUUACCUUUUUAUUUUUGUAAUAUUCUGGAAUUACUUGUAAAUUAUUUUAUCUGGUUACGAUGGUUUUCUGUGUAGCUCUUAGCUAAUAUUGCUUGUCAUCUCUCUCUAUCUUUGUGGUUAUGAACUAUAUCUCUUAUUGAACGCUUGGAAAUUGGAAUCCGAGGAAAGGAAAGGAUAGCAAAGGAAAAGAUUCAAUUCAAUGAAAAAAAUAAUUAAUUGAUGGUUCUUCUUAUCUUGAUUUAGGAAUCAGAUAUCGAAAAUGUGGUUGCAUCUGUCAUGGGAGCAAAUACAAAUAACACUGCUCUGUUAUUCCAGUUCUUGAUGAGAAAGGAUGCACUACAAUUGAUGAGGUAAGCUGUUCAUUCCCUAGUUUUCAUAUACAAUAUGAUCAUAGACUACUGAGGAAAUUCAUCUUUUGAUUAUAACAGACCAAUGGAUAUGUUGAAGAGAUUUUGAACUCAACUGUAGGCUUAAUUGCUAAUAACUUUAGAAGACACAAAUUGCAAGAAGAUAUUAUGUCAUUAUUUUGGAUUGUUUUCUGAUAAGUAAAUUUGGAGAUUCUAUGAAUGCUUCAUAUUUAUUAAAUUGUUUGCAUGAAUUCCAAGCUUCUUAUGGUUCAUCAAGAGAAUAAAGAUAUUUUUAUAACUUAUGUAAAUUUCCUAACUACCAAACAACUUUAGACGAGCGCUGAAAGUUUAAUAUAGUAGCAGCUUUAAGAAAUAGAAAAAACGAUGAAGUUAAACAACACAACAUUUAAUUUAGUUGAGUAUUCUUUCUAAUAUAUAAUAAUCUUUUGAUCUGCAGUUAAUUAUUAACUUUAGUUGUUUCACAAAUUAGAGUAACCAAACAAUUACGGAUUUGAUAUCUAAUUUAGCAAUAGAUUUCGAUGAAUAAUAAACUAGCGUGUACUUUAGCAAUUAAACAUAUCAACCAUAGAAAUUAAAUGCAGAAGAAUAAUCAAUACUCAUAAUAUAAAUUGAACAAUUAAAAUCAAUUAGAUCUCACAAUGUAAUAAUCUGAGGCUUCCGUCCCAUUAAUCCAAGAAUAAGAAUUUAGCUAUACAUGACUAUAAAAACACCAAAGAAUAAUAGAGAGAGAAUUUUGUAGACAAGUCCCUAAGCUCUCUCGGUAAUCAUCUAUUUAUAGGCAUAAGACAUUAAUUUUUUUCCAUUUAGGUUUCAACCUCCUAGUGACAAUCAACUUCCUUCAAAGAGAUUUUCUUUUCUUUCAUUAGAUUUAACUUUCACACCAAGAUUGUUCCUCCUCCCUCCUUAUAGGAUUCUUCUUGUUUCGUUCCUUCCAUGAAUAGGAUCAUUAAAUAUUGUUGGAUCACCAAGAUAUUGACUUUAUUAUAAUAAAAUAUUAAAUCCUACAAAAUAAAAUAAAACAUAUUAAUUAAAUAAACUAAUAUAAUUAAAAAGAAAAAACAUUUAAUUGCACCUUAAAUAAAAAUAUAAGAAUAAUGAGUAUAUUUAGGCACAAUAAAUACAAAAGAUUAAGCAUUAAGGUAUAAAAACAUAACAUAUUUUAUUCUCCAGUUUCUCUCUUUCGGAACUCCAUAUUAGUUGAGACUGUCAAGGGAACACAAAAAUAAUCAUAAUUAAAGAUGGUACUUCAUGAAUGUUCAUAUAUGUAAAUUUAGAAGCCAAUUAUUUAUCCAAAAUUUACAAUUGAAUGGAUAUAUGCAGAUUAUGGAAAUAUGACUUACGCGUCACGGUUGGUGCUUUGGGAGAUCGGAAUAUCUAAUUUAACACCGCACUUGUCAGGUAGAGCUUGGGCUGCAUCAUCUUUCAAGCUUGGGUAACGAUUGGCAGCUGUCUUAGCACAGUUGCAGGCUGUACGCUUGUCUUUUGGGUAGCGAUUGGCAGCUGUCUUUUUUUUUAUUAUUUAUUUUUUCUUUAGUAAGGGUGUAAAUGAACCGAGUCGAGUUGAGUAUUGAGUUAUUCAGAUUUGGUUCACAAAAUUUAUUGAGUAUAAAUAAGGUUUGUUUGAAGUUUGUUUAGUUACCGAGUUGAAUACGAUCUCGAAUCGAACUCGAUCAGUUGAAUUUUACGAACGAAUAUGAUCCGAGUAUAUCAAUAGAAAAUUGCAAUUUGAGAAGGUUUGAG
rnacentral:lncRNA from 1 species